rnacentral:rRNA from 1 species
GACGAACGCUGGCGGCGUGCUUAACACAUGCAAGUCGAGCGGUAAGGCCCUUUCGGGGGUACGACGAGCGGCGAACGGGUGAGUAACACGUGGGUGGACCUGCCCUCAGCUCUGGGAUAAGCCUGGGAAACCGGGUCUAAUACCGGAUAUGACUCCAUGACGCAUGUUGUGGGGUGGAAAGCCUUGUGCGGCUGAGGAUGGGCCCGCGGCCUAUCAGCUUGUUGGUGGGGUGAUGGCCUACCAAGGCGACGACGGGUAGCCGGCCUGAGAGGGCGACCGGCCACACUGGGACUGAGACACGGCCCAGACUCCUACGGGAGGCAGCAGUGGGGAA